AUGGGAGUUUGGACCAAGAUCAAGAGAAACAAACAUUACCACUCCAAAAGAAACCACUCAAAUAGCAUCUGGACAUCCUGCAGGUGUGGGUGGCUUACCUGGACUCCUGUGCUCUCCAUAGGGGCCUUAGAUUCAACACCCACCCCAUCCGCUGCCUCAGCCGGCUCAGACCGCUGCCAGCAGUGGGUGGUUCACCACAGACCUCCAGCACUGGAAAUCUGGAUCCAGUCUGCAAAUUCAAAGACAGGUAUUCCAGAUCAAACUCUUUGAAGUAUUUUUUUCUUUUCUUUUUAAUGAUGACUGUAUUGUAUUUUUAUCUACUCUAUAACGUUUUAAAUUCACAACCCACUAAGUAAGCUAGAAUGCUAGUUAUUGAGAAAGAGACGGACAUCCGGUUUAUAGGCUGGAAUGUCAUUUGAGCCUCAAAGCGUUUUAAACAACAUUGCUCAAAUUGCAGCUUACAGAAAGAUUUGCCCUAGUGCAGUAUUUCAUCUUUUUAAACUGUACCUCCCACCUCUGUUAUCGUGCCAUUGGGACAGACUCGACUUUACUAUUGAAUCAGGAUUUUAACUCAUGCCGUUAUGGAAUGGGGCACAAGGCAGAAGCUAAAACUUAGAGGUCUGUGUAAACUUAGAAGGCAGGUCACAACAUAACAUUUUACAUUACAGUAUUGCAGACAUGCUACAGUGCAUAAGUAAUUAUUCUCUCAGAUUUCCUCAUUGAUGUUCAAAUGAAUUUAUGGGGCAAUUCACUCAAAAUGAACCCAGACCUGUAACUUUUUCUUCUAUGGAACACAAAACAUAUUUAACAAAUUGUUGCCCUAAUUGCUCUUUUCCUUACAGGAAAUGAUGGCAGAUGCUGUUUAGCUCAAAAAUGAUUUGCUAUAAAAGUCCAAACUAAUUUUGUGAUGAGAAAGUGUUUAUAAUUUUCACAGAAAAAUAAAUAAAUAAAUAAAUAAAACACUGUAAAUUAGUUAAGAGUAAAAUACCAUGAAACGUAAUUUAAUGUUAUUUUAUUGCCAGAUUUAUUGUUGCAAAUAAAAACUAUGAAUUAGCAUAUACGAAUUUACAGUGAAAAACAGUAAAAUUAUUAUUAUUAUUUUUUUAUUUUUAAUGAUUAUUAAGGUGUUUUGUGUUGCAUUUCUUCUUUUAUGUUCCACUGAAAACAGAAAAGUAUAGGGGUUUAGAACAACAUAAGGGUGAGAAAAUGACAGAAUUACACUUUUUGGAAGAGCAAUCCCUUUAAUAAUCCAAGAAGUACUAGCAUGUGAAAUCCAACAAACUGAUCCUUACUGUAAAUGGCUACUCAAAAUAUAAUGUCAUGGCAUUUCAAUAUGAAUGAAUUCAAUAUGAAUUAUUAAUUUUAAUAAAGCAUCACAGGUGGUCGACAUCUGUAACUGUUUGUGGCCUCUUGCAAUGUGUGGGAGUAAAUAUACAUUUAUCUCCCUGAGUUAUAUAUAUAUUGACACGCAUCCACUCAUCCUUUUGAUUUACAUGUAAGAGUGUAUAAGGUUCUUCAGCAGAAGCAUUCUUCUUCCUGUGUGCCCUUCUUCCUGUAAGCCAAACACAAAGCUUUAUAACAGGACCAGCCAAACCCCUGUCUGAUUCACAUGACUCACACAGCAUGGAUCCAAUCAGAUCUCAAAGGCUUUGAGAGGAUGUUGUGAGGAAUGCCAAAUCUGUCCCACUUAUGCUCUGCAUAUCAACACAUUUAUGCAAGAAUGACAAUGUGACAUAACCAUUACCAUGAAAACUGACACAUCUCUGAAGGCAUAUUAGCAAUGAAAGCACAAACUCCCAUCAGAAGUAGUUAAAUAUGAAGAAUUACUCUUGUUUAGAUGAGUAUUUCUUCAACUAUAGACAUUUUUGGUUCACAUUUCAGCUCAAGCUUUUUUUAUUUUUUGGUUGUGAUUAAUAUGCUGCAGUACUGGGGUACAGUCAUCAUUCAAAUGGUUUAUGUGUAUUUAAAACUGUUUAGAUUUGCAGUGUCUAAAAAAUAUAGUAAUUCAUAUUUUUAUGAUGGAUUUUCAUAUUUAGUAUAUAGAAUGUGGGUAAAAUGAGGGUAAAACAAAUCUAUUCCUAAGUAAUUUGAAAGACAGCAUAAACACAUAAUGAAGUUACAAAAAUGCUAAGAUAGUUUUAAUGUGACCUUUAUAUAUUAAAGAAGAAAAAAAAAUGUAUUAGAUCUAUUUGAAGUGAUCAGAUUCAGUGUGGUUGCUGUUACAGGAAAAGUUACACCAAAAAUGAAAAUGUAUUCACCCUCAGGCCAUCCAAGAUGAAGAUGAGUUUGUUUUGAUUGCUGUUGAUUCAGUAAAAUUUAGCAUUACAUUACUGCACAAAUGGACCUUCUGCAGUGAAUGGGUGUCAUCAGAAUGAAAGUCACACAGCUGAUAAAAGCAUCACAAUAAUUCGCACAAGUGCAAAAUCCAUAAUAAAGCUUCCUGCAGUGUAAAGGUCCAUCUUCUCAUAUCCAAAUCACAUUUAGUUACAAACAUACAUAGUUUAGAACUGUUUUGGACUGUUUAAGCUUGUGAACGGAGCUUGAUCUGGAUGGAGCAUAUUUCUCUCCUGAUUCAGACAAGACAAAUUUUUCACCAAAGAAAUCAAUAUUAUGGAUUGAGGAAUUUAUGGAUUUAGCCAGUUUGUUUUUCUUUGAUAAACACUAAACUUUUCAUUUGACUGGAGUUAUGUGGUUUGUUGUGAUGCUUUAUCAGCUGUUUGGACUCUCAUUCUGACGGCACCCAUUCACUGCAGAGGAUCCAUUGGUGAGAAAGAGUUGUAAUGCUAAAUUUAUUUAAAUCUCUUCUAAUGAAGAAAAUUUGAAUGUCAGAAAAGUUGUGUAAUAAUGCAAGCUGGAGAAAAUGAUGCAUGUAUGUUUUUUUUUGGUUUGUUUGUUAGUUUUUUGUGCAAAUUCGCAAAAAAAAAAAAAAGAAAAAGAAUAUAUAUAUAUAUAUAUAUAUAUAUAUUAGGGCUGUCAAAUGAUUAAUCACGAUUAAUCACAUCCAAAAUAAA
ensembl:lncRNA